GUCGUUGAGUGGUAAAGCGCUGGGCUUCUGAACCGGAGGUCCAGGGUUCGAAUCCUGGUGUAGACU
rnacentral:tRNA from 1 species